rnacentral:rRNA from 1 species
UACGUAGGUGACAAGCGUUGUCCGGAUUUACUGGGCGUAAAGAGCGCGCAGGCGGUCGUUCAAGUCGAGUGUGAAAGCCCCCGGCUCAACUGGGGAGGGUCACUCGAUACUGAUCGACUCGAAGGCAGGAGAGGGAAGUGGAAUUCCCGGUGUAGUGGUGAAAUGCGUAGAUAUCGGGAGGAACACCAGUGGCGAAGGCGACUUCCUGGCCUGUUCUUGACGCUGAGGCGCGAAAGCUAGGGGGGCAAACGGG